UACAGAGGGUGCGAGCGUUAAUCGGAAUUACUGGGCGUAAAGCGUGCGUAGGUGGAAUUUUAAGUCAAAUGUGAAAUCCCCGGGCUUAACCUGGGAACUGCAUGUGAUACUGGAAUUCUUGAGUAUGGUAGAGGAAAGUGGAAUUCCCGGUGUAGCGGUGAAAUGCGUAGAUAUCGGGAGGAACAUCAGUGGCGAAGGCGACUUUCUGGACCAAUACUGACACUGAGGCACGAAAGCGUGGGGAGCAAACAGG
rnacentral:rRNA from 1 species